CUGCCAUCUGUGUUUGGAGACUGUGUCCCAGACUUUUGAGCUCACAUUAGUCAUGGCCACAGACGGGACUGGAGUCCUGCCCACUGGAGUCCCAAAGGUCUCUGGUGUUUGUUUUCCACUCUGCAUGCCUGGGUUGGGGGAUGGCAGGGGGAUACAGGUUGUUGGAGUACCUCCCAGCCGGGCCGUUUCCUUGGUUCCCUGGGGCUGCCUUGCUUCCUCUCUAGAUCAUCAGUCUCAGCAGAGGAAACCAAAAAUCUCCUCCUCGCCCCGCAACCACCUUUUGCUGACUGCUAAGCAUCCCUGCUCUGAAACCAUAACCACCAUAAAAGCAAUAGGCUUGUCUUCUCUGUUCUAAGCAUGUACUAUUCAGGUGAUUUAGGGGGAGUAAACAGGCCCAGAGAAAUUAAAUAAUUUGUCUAAGGGUACCGGCUAAUGAGGAUCUGAGCUCAGUUGUAAAUGACUCCAUCACCCAUGCUCUUUUUUAGUCCCCUUUAUAAUUAUUUUAAAAUAACAUUUAAUUAAUUUUCUGUUAUAAAAGGAACACAUGCUCAAACAAAAAACUUAGAAAAUAUAAAAAUGUAUGAAGACAAAACAAAAUAACCCCCAGUAUUAGCAAUGCCAACUUGCCAAGACAAAAAUGUUAACAUUUUUAUUUCUUUUUCUUUUCAGUCUUUACUCUCUGUGUGCACACACACACACAGGCAAAGUGAAAUCACAUUGUAUAUUCUUUUUUGCUUCUAGCAUUUUCCACUUAGCUAUCUAAUAUUACUAUUUCCUGAUAUCAAUAAAUGAUCUUCAAUCCCAU
rnacentral:lncRNA from 10 species